AUGUGCCCCCAUCCUGCCCACAUUUCCCCAUACUGAAAGGAAAGCCUGCAUUUAAGAUUUAACAAAAAAAAGAAAAAGAAACCUAUACGUGUAUAUUUGUAGCAGCUUUAAAAAAAAAAAAAAAAACACACAACAUUUGCAAUCAUCCAAAUGUCCUUAAGCUUAAACAAAUUUUAAACAAGUUUGUUUAAACAAGUUAAACAAACUCUCAAACAGAGGAAAUAAGUUAGAACACAAGCCUGCACUUGCCUGUUUCGAUACAACUUUACCAGGCAUUGUCCCAAGGCUUCUGAUCCAAAACUAAACAUAUAAACAAGUUUAAGCAAGCUUAUAGGCAGUGGGCCACAGGAAGCUGUCUCCUUCCUGCUUAUUUGAAAAGAAACCCAAACUGCCAUGACUCGCUUCCUCUUCUCACUUCUCUACAAGCUUCCUGCCAGAUUUUCUUAACUUCUUUGUGUAACAUUUGACUAUGUGGUGCUUGCACACUUGUGAAUUCAGAGCACUGCUCCUGUGCCAGUGGUGCUGUGGACUGUCUCUUAGAAUCUAGCCAGCGGUGUGUCUGACACACUAUUGAUAGACACUGCACUGUCUGAAGAGCAAUGCUGCAUGGACGGGAAAGAAGUCAAAUGUGAAGUCUCUGCUUCAGGGAUCCAUUUUGUGGCAUUCUGGAAAACUGGCAAGAAGGACUCUGCAGGUAACGUUCUCAUGGAGGCUUUUCUUCACGUGUGUCUUCCUGCUGAAGCAAACCUGGAAUGAAUGAGGAUGUUUGCAAACCAAAGUUGUUCCGGUCGGCGUUCAAACCGGUUACCUGACUUCGAGGCUCCGCCCAACUCGUCACUGAUUUUUUUUUUUUGUUGCCUGAUUCAUCAAUCCUGAAUAUAUCCACCCUCUCAGCAAAUAAAAUCUGCUUCUGGGAGAAAGAGAGUUAGUAAUAUGUGACAGGAAAUGUGGUGUACCGGAAAGUAAAUAAACAGAACUGAAAAAUGUUA